CUGACCUCAAAUCGGG
rnacentral:rRNA from 1 species